GGUGAGGGGCGGGGCGGCGCUGAGCCGAGGGGGCGGGGUCACGAACUCUGACCUCCGGGAGCCGGAGCCGCCGCUACCACCGCCGCCGCCAAAUAAACCGGCCGAAGAGGCCGCCGGACCCACCAGGAAAUUCUGGUGAUUAAAGAUCAUGGCAACCAUAGAGGAACUGGCCCAUCAAAUUAUUGAACCGCAGAUGGGAGAGAUUGCCCAUUCCCAGGAAGCAGUUUCACAAACACUAAUGGAUGGGACACCACAGCGAAUACAGAUUGUCCCUGCGGAUUCAGGCCUCUCUUUACCACAACGUAUACAGAUUGUCACAGAUCAGCAGACGGGCCAGAAGAUUCAGAUUGUUACAGCACUUGAUCAGAGCACACCAGGCAAGCAGUUCAUCUUAACAAAUCAUGAUGGCUCUACCCCAAGCAAGGUGAUUCUUGCCAGACAAGAUUCCACUCCAAGAAAAGUUAUCCUGGCAACUCCAGAUGCUGCAGGUGUCAACCAACUGUUUCUUGCAUCCCCUGAUAUAUCUGCACAACACAUCCAGAUUUUAACAGACAACUCCCCCAGUGAACAGGGCCUAAAUAAAGUGUUUGAUCUGUGUGUUGUAUGUGGAGACAAGGCAUCAGGGCGUCACUAUGGAGCAGUAACUUGUGAGGGAUGCAAGGGAUUCUUUAAAAGGAGCAUACGGAAGAAUUUAGUUUAUUCAUGCCGAGGAGCAAAAAACUGUGUCAUUAACAAACGCCACCGGAAUCGAUGUCAGUACUGUAGGCUGCAGAGAUGCAUCGCGUUUGGGAUGAAACAAGAUUCUGUGCAGUGUGAGAGGAAACCUAUUGAAGUGUCAAGAGAAAAAUCUUCAAACUGUGCAGCUUCCACAGAAAAGAUCUACAUUCGGAAAGAUCUUCGUAGUCCAUUAGCUGCAACUCCAACUUUUAUAACAGACAAUGAAACAGCAAGAUCAACAGGUCUGCUGGAAUCAGGAAUGUUGGUUAACAUUCAUCAGUCUGCAGUAAAAACUGAACCUACUGUAAUGAUGACUCCAGAAAAGGUUGAAGCCUGUCAGGGAGAUCUAAGUACACUGGCAAACGUGGUGACUUCAUUAGCGAAUCUCAGUAAAUGCAAAGACAUGUCACAAAGCAGUACAGACCUAUCUAUGAUUGAGAGCUUAAGUAAUGGAGAUGCAUCAUUAUCUGAACUCAAGCAAGAUGAACAAGCUAGUACUGAUGUUUCAAGGGCAUUUGAUACUCUUGCGAAAGCAUUAAAUCCAGGGGAGAGUGCAGCAUGCCAGAACUCAGAAAGUAUUGAUGCCAGUGUACAGCUGAUUGGUGGAGAAUCAAGCCUGAACAUCGUUGAAAUAGAGGGACCACUACUCAGUGAUGCACAUGUAGCAUUCAGGCUCACCAUGCCUUCUCCUAUGCCUGAGUAUCUUAACGUUCACUAUAUCUGUGAAUCUGCCUCCAGGCUGCUUUUCUUGUCCAUGCACUGGGCACGUUCUAUUCCGUCUUUCCAAGCAUUAGGGCAGGACAACAGCAUAUCAUUAGUAAAAGCCUGCUGGAACGAACUUUUCACGCUUGGUCUUGCACAAUGCUCACAAGUUAUGAAUGUGGCAACUAUAUUAGCUGCAUUUGUUAAUCACCUUCAUGGCAGCUUACAGCAAGAUAAGCUGCCAACAGACAGAGGAAAACUAGUAAUGGAGCAUAUCUUCAAAUUGCAAGAGUUCUGCAACAGCAUGGUUAAGCUUUGCCUAGAUGGAUAUGAAUAUGCAUAUUUGAAAGCAAUCGUCCUCUUCAGUCCUGAUCAUCCAGGUCUAGAAAAUGUGGUACAGAUUGAGAAAUUUCAAGAAAGAGCUUACAUGGAGUUCCAAGACUACGUAACAAAAGCAUAUCCAGAUGAUACUUACAGACUGUCUAGACUUCUUCUCAGAUUGCCUGCUCUGAGGCUGAUGAGUGCUGCCAUCACUGAAGAGCUGUUCUUUGCAGGACUGAUUGGCAACGUUCAGAUUGACAGCAUCAUCCCAUAUAUUCUGCGAAUGGAGACAACGGACUACAACUCUCAGAUAAUCAGUCAUACCAUAUAAAAGUACUAGUCAAGUAUUCCAUACCAUGGCAGUCAUGGUGAUGUAAAUGCAUACCCUGUCUCCAAGAGAUGGCAAUAAGCCUUCCCAUGCACCUUUUCAAAGAAGGCUAAUAUUCCUCCUUUCCAGUACACUUGGGAAACGUGAUGGACUGUAUUAAGGAAUAUAGGAUCAUUUCCUAUUUUUCAUCUGAUCUUCAAGGACUUGUAAAUUUACUUGGUAUCUGAAGAAAGUCAAGAAUUGUCCAUCCUAUUUUUAUAGAUAGAUAACUUGGAAUAUUUGUUUAUGAAGUCCAAGCUUGUGAAGAAACUGAAGAAGCAAUGACUGAACUAAGCAACACUGGGUGUGGAAGAGCCUCAGCAACACACAUAUGAUGGCACCAGGAAUUGCUCAGCCAAAAGAUCAUCUUAAAUGGGGGCCUUUGCCCACUCUGCACCAGAAGGUCCAAGGCCACCCUAACACCAGGAGACUACUAGAUGAGGCUACUGUAGUUUUUCUCAGCACCUGAGGACCUCAGCCAGCCAAAAAGAAUUGGUGAACUGCCUCUGACACUGAGUUUCUGUGUUCUUUUCAAUUCCACUACCUGAGCUGUUUGGAUCUUCUUCCACCCAAGCUAUGUAAUUUGAGGCUUUACUACAGGAUCGGUCACAGCCAACACCACAGACAAAGCACUCACUGCAGAGGACCCCUGAUGGGAUGGCAGCAUCUGCCCUGCUCUGCCCUGGCAUUUACUGACUUGCUGGAGUACUGACCUGCCUUCAGUGUCGGAGCUGGCCGUGUCUGCUGAGCUCUUCCCACAUUCCACCUUUCAAAGGAUGCAGGAUGCAAGCUCUUCAUCUGGGUCCCCUUGGAGAGCAAUGUGAGGACUGUUGGGUCUUGGGAGGUAUGCAUCUCAUCAGCAGGGUUUAUGGAUGUACAAAAGAGUUGCUGCCGAUACACUGUGCUUGUUCUCUCCCCAAGGGUUAGAGGCCCAGCUUGCCAUCAGUAGGACCAAGUUGCAGAUGGCAGGUGUAUAACUCUUCAUCUCUUCUUGGAAAUUCUGACCCUGCUUGCUAGCCCUUUGCUGUCUUUGACCUGCUUCUAGCACUAACAGGCAUGGGAGAUUUACAGUCCUCUGUGUUAAACUUUUUAAGGAAGCUGAUGGCACAUUAUUCCUGAGUAUUUUGGAAAGUGGUUUCCCAGGUAUUCUAAUAAUCUUGGAAGAGUUUUACUCCAGUAUUCUCCACACUCAUGUAACCCAGAUAAUAGUAAGAAAUAAUAUCUUGUUUCCCUUCUAAACGCAGUACAUUGUGCAAAUGUCUCUCCCAUCCUUACAGAAAUCUUUUACUCCAUCGUUUGAGCCUCAGGUGUCAUACACAGUUCUUGGUUUACAGCUGGUCAAAAGAUUUGGCUCACACAGCCUCUUGCAUGGGACUGUCCUGUUUCAGAGACAAACUGAGAAAAUACGAGUCUUUCUGCAGAUACUAGUCUUCAGUGACUGAAUCCUUUGGCUCAUUUCUUUUUAUCAUAGAACAGUCCAGGUUGGAAGGGACCUGAAAAGAUCAUCCAGUGCAACCUUCCAUGGGAAAGGGAGCCUAGAUGAGAUUAUCUAGCACUCUGUCCAGUCGCAUCUUGGAAGCUUCCACUGGUGGGGACUCCACUGCAUCCCUGGGGAGGUUGUUGCCGUUACUGAUUGUUCUCAGCAUAAGCAAAUUCUUUCUUAUAUCCAGAUCUCCAAGAUUUUCCAAAGAUUAUAGACAGUUGCCUUGCACAAGUGUCAGACACUUAAUACCUUAGGGUGGAUUUCUUCUGGGUCUAUGGAUUUUUUUGAGUUGAGCCCUUGCAGGAGGCUGCAGACCAGUCCUUCCUCUACUGCUGGUGGGUCAACACAUUGUCAUAGCUAUUUGAUCCUGUGCUCUGUGGUCCAGCUCUACUGGUAAAGACAGGCAAAGAAGAUGCCGAGAACCUCUGCCUUGUCAGCAUGACCACUGAGUAUUUUCCCUGCCCUGUUAGGCAAUAGGUCUGCAUCUUCCCUGUGCUUCUGCUUACUGCUCAUAUAUAUCUGAAGAACCCUUUUUUCUUGUUCUUGACAUCUUUGCCCAAUUUCAGCUCUAGCUGAGCCCUGGCCUUCCUAACCACAUCUCUGCAUACCCUUUUAAUCCCUGAUGGGUAUUUAGCUGCUUUCCAUAGGUGGUAUGCUGAGGUUUUGCCUUUUUUUUUUCUUUUCUUUUUUUGUCAGAGUGCUGUUUUGGAUGAGAUGACCUCAGAACCUUAUUUUCUCUGGAUUUCUAUUCUUGCUUCCUCUUUGUGCCCUAGUCUGUUUGCAUACAAGUUAGCCUACUUCAAUAACGUGUGCCCUGCCAUUACCACUGACUGCUGGGUCGUGACUACUUUCCUAGGAUGUGUUAACUCAAAAGCACAAGAACCUUGGUCCUAUUUCCCAUCAGGUUGUUUAAAUUCAGGUGUUUGUUGGGCAAAAAACAUUUUAUGAUUCUGGAUACCUCUGACAUUUGGACCUCCACAAAGCAGCUGUGCACACAGCACAUUGCAAAGAGCUCUGGCUACUGGUAAGUAACCUUUUAUCCAAAAAGUUUUCUUACAUUUUUUCAUGACAGUAAAUUUUCAUCCUAAGUUAGGUAUUGAUUUAAAGGUAAGGUGCAGCUGUUUUAUGCUGCCUGACAAGUAAUCUUUCUCGUCUUCAUGACGAGCUAGAAGCUGGAUACCAUACUGCAGGUUGUUGCUUCAGUGUUACUUUGCUUAUGAAGAUUUUUCAUAAUUUAAAAAUCAUUAAUCAUUCUUAAGCUAUAAAUUCAUGCUUUUGAUAAGGAAUGAGGCAUAACUGGGUUUUCUCAGGAAUGGGAGCUUUAAAACAGGUAAAUUAAUACAGGGAUGAACAUGUUUCUUCCUUAUUUCUGGAUGUUAAGCACUGUGGUCAUUGAGAAUAACGCAACAGCUCAUAGGAAGGCGAAACACAAGUUCUGGUUUUGUUUGUUUUGCUUUUUUAAGAUAACUGCUGCUCAGUUAAAUGGAGCAUAUUGUUAUCUUCAUCUCAGACCUUCAGUGUUUCCAAUACCUA